GAGGAUAUAGCUUAGUGGUAGAGUGCCUGUUCAGUAUGCACGAGGUUCUGGGUUCAAUCCCUAGUAACUCCA
rnacentral:tRNA from 1 species